GUCACGGGGCGAGCCCCGGCAGCGUCCGCGGUAACUUGCCAUGGCGAUGGGCAGCGGCGGUGCAGGCUCGGAGCAGGAGGACGCGGGGCUGUUCCCACGUGGCACCGGCCAGAGUGAUGAUUCUGACAUUUGGGAUGAUACGGCAUUGAUAAAAGCUUAUGGUAAAGCUGUGGCUUCCUUUAAGCAUGCUCUGAAGAAUGUUGACGUUUGUGAGGAGAGAGGAGAGAGGAAGUUUGUGAAACUUCAGAUAAGCCAAAAGGCACAGCUAGAAGAAAACCUGCUAAGAAGAAUAAAAACCAAAAGAAGACUGCCACGCCUCCCUUGAAACAGUGGAAAGUUGGUGACAGAUGUUCUGCCACUUGGUCAGAAGACGGCUGUGUUUACCCAGCUACCAUUGCUUCCAUUGAUUUCAAGAGAGAAACCUGUGUUGUGCUUUACACUGGAUAUGGAAACAGAGAGGAGCAAAAUCUGUCUGAUCUCCUUUCCCUAACCUGUGAAGUAGCUAAUCAUGCAGAACAGAGCACUCAGGAGGGCCAUACAAAUGCUGGGCAAGUGCUCUGCCUCUGCAUAGCAAAAAUGUUUAUUUUUCUUUAUAAAGAAUGAAAGAAAGUCAAGCUUCAACAAACGACAGUGAAAACUCCUCCAGAUCCCUCGGAAGUAAACCACACAGCAAGUCCAAAGCUGCUGCAUGAAACUCGUUUCUCCCUCUACCACCCCCAAUGCCAGGGUCAGGAUUGGGACCAGGAAAGACUGUGGGACCUUGCACCUGGGAGGCGAGUGCUGUCCCCUGAGCUACACCCUCCGCUUUAGUGAGUGAGUGAGUGAGGUCACGUCAUUGGUCAGGAGUAUCACUGACAGUGAAGGGAGAAAAGGGUUUCAGACAAAAUAAAAAAGAAGGAAAGCGCUCACAUACAAAUUAAACAGUUCAGCUCUCUGCCAAGGAGGUGGUAUGUUGGUGUCCCUGGUCAAUAUGAACAGAUGUCUCAUCGUCAUCUUGUGGACUCUUGGCUGAGUGGUGUCAUCACCAGUGUUUUCCCGUUCUGGGUCUGGGCCUAGCUCACCAGUGGGGUGUGUUUAGAGCACGAUCACUUUGAGGAACAGAAUGGUGGAACUGUGAGCACGUGGAAGUCAGUCUGCCAAAGCUGUGACUGAGCACACCUGUACAAUUGUAACUUCCUUAGUGUGUCGAGAUUUUUACUCAUGCCUUUACAAACAAAUAAAGUCCUUUUUUGAAAUAUUUUCCUUUGGGAUAUAUACAGUGAAGUUGAGUCUGUUUAAAGAUACAGGAAGAAAACUACUCAGACUUAUUACCUGGGUAAAGGGUGAUUUCUGAAGGUGGGACAAAUUGAUAAUUUAGGAUUGGGAAACAAAAGCUAGUUCGUAUCACAGGGUCUACACUGGCUAGCCAGGAAUCAAGGUGAGUUCUGGGUUAUGUGUGUGUGUGUGUGUGUGUGUUUCCCAUGGCUCAAAUCUGGAGGUCGGAGAAUGGCUGUGUGUGUGUGUGUGUGUGUGUGUGUGUGUGUGUGUGUGUGUGUGUGUGUGUUUCCCAUGGCUCAAAUCUGGAGGUUGGAGAACGGCUUGUGAAGUCUUGGCUCUUCUUCCUACUGUGUAGGUUCUAGGUAUUGAAUCCAGGUUGUUGGUUGGCAGGUGCCUUUACCUGCUGAGCCGUCUCACCAGCCCUGUUCUUCACUUUUUUGAAAGAGUUUUGUGCAGUCUGAGUUUCCUGCAAUUUACAGCCCUCUUGACUCUGCCCCCAAAUGCUGACGUCACAGGCAGUACCACCACACUGUAGCUGAAGUUUUCCUGUGUCCACCUGGCUCUUGCAGCCACUCAGAUCCAAGUAAACACACAGAGACUUAUAUUACUUAUAAACUGUAUGGCUGUGGCAGGCUUCUUGCUAUCUAGUUCUUAUAUCUUAAAUUAACCCAUUUCUAUUAAUCUGUAAGUUACCAUGUGGCUUGUGGCUUACCUGUACUUUUACAUCUUGCUUCUCAUGGCGGCGGCAGCUGGCUGCAUCUCGUGAUUCAGCCUUCCCUUCCCAGAAUUCUCCUCUCUCUUUAUCCUGCCUAUACUAUACUUCCUGCCUGGCUACUGGCCAAUCAGUGUUUUAUUUAUCAAUCAGAGCAACACAUUCACAGUGUACAGAAAGACAUCCCCAGCACCACACCUGUGUUGUCUUUUAGAAGCUGUAUUGUUCUCUUUGCACCCUCCCUUGUCUGUCUUUCUAGUCUCCCUCUCUCCCCCUGAUGUUCCUUACCUCCUCACCUCACCUCCUUACCUCCUGCCUGACCCAAUUGCCCCUUGUUGCUCAAAUCUUAAAAGGUCUUAUAAUAUAAAACUCAGAACCAGAUAUUGGGGUAAUGCUGAAAGAUCAGAGAGACAAAGGAACAAGCCACUGCCACGUCUUACCUCUUGAACUCUUCAGCCUGAAAAACCUCUAGUUCCUGUCUCCUCAUGCCUUAUAUACCUUUCUCUGCCUAGCCAUCACUUCCUUCUUAGUGCCUGGAUUAAAGGCUGUGACUCCCAAGUAUUGGGAUUAAAGGUGUGUGCCACCACUGCCUGGCUCUGUUUCUCCUAGACUGAGUCAAUCUCAUGUAGUCCAGGGUGGCUUUGAACUCACAGAGAUCCAGAUGGAUCUCUGCCUUCUGAGUGCUAAGGUGUGUGCCACUUCUGCCUGGCCUCUAUGUUUAAUCUAGUGGCUUGUUCUGUUCUCUGAUUUUCAGGCAAAUCUUAUUAGGGUACACAAUAUAUCACCACAGCCCUUACCGUUCUCUCCCAUCGUGGCCUUGCAGUUCCGUGUGUACCUUCAUUAGAGUCUUGUGGUGAGGGUUGGUGUCAAGCACUCAGGCUUCUCCCUGGUUCAUUCACCUCUGGAGGAAAAGGUUAAGAGAUCAGCUCUGUUGAGCUGGAGAUGGAGCCCAUGGUAGAGCUUGCCUUACAUGUCCAAGGCCCUGGGUUUUAUCUCCACUACCAUAAAAACAAUAUGGUAAAUGCCAUUCCUUUCCUAAGUUUUGAGUAGGUAAACUAAAUUAACUAAGCUCCCUAUGCGCCUAGCAUAUUAGCUGUCAAGUAAGUAUUAUUAAAUUAAUGAAUAGUCAAUAUCUAGUAAGUAGCUUUGCAAAAUAUGACUUGAGCUUUUAGAGGGAAUAUUACCUUUCAUGACAGUUGGCUAUUAUAGAUUUGGCACAGCUUAAUUGGUUAAUUUGCAAGUUAAAUUUAAUUACUAAUAUAUCCAGUUAACUUCCAACCAGAUAUUAGACAUUAACAUUAAUUUUAAUUCCCUUUAGUACCCAAUACAUUUACUUGGACUGACAUUAUUCAUUCUGGCAAAUACUCAACUUUUUUUAAGUGCUGGGAGUUGCUCUUGGUGAAACUAGGAUGCCUUGUAUGUUGGCAUAUGAUACAGCACCAGUUACUUGAAAAGCUGAGGUGGUAGGAUUCAUCAUUUAAGACCAGCCUGGCCAACAAGAGACCACAUCUAAUGCAGUAACAACAAAGGGAAGGCUGAACUAAAGACAAUAGGCAGUGGAGAUGGCUCAGUGGGAGAAGGGCAGCGCAGAGGGACAGCAAGAGCAUCACUGGUUUGUCGGCCAUCAGCCUGGCCUCAAAGCCCCAAGUUCCAGGUUCUCAAGGGAAUAGUGCAGGCGGUGACAAAGACACCCGUGGUGACCUUUGGCACGUAGACAUGGGCAUCCAUACCCACGCAUACACAUGCACUCUGUCAUCUCAGACACAAUGGAAAAUAGCCUACAGGGGGUGGUUAGAAAGCUUAUAUUGGCUCACAGUUCUGGAGGAUCAGGGCUGGUGAUUUUGUCUAGUGUGCUGAGCUUGAAUCAGUCAUAAUAGUGCAAGAGGCAAUGAGCAUGAUUUGUGUGCUUUGUGUAUGUGUUCAUACCUGGCCUCUCAGGAAGCCACUAGGAUUCAGUGGGAGCUUCAUCUUGAUGACCUUAUCCUAAAUACCUUCCAAAGGCCCCAGCUGUAAGCACAGUAGAUUAAGUUCCCAUUCCUAGUAGCUCACAGUAGGGAUGGCAUUUCCAAACCAUGGCAUGAGGGAACAUCCUAGGAAAAGCAACAGCAACGCCUUUGCCUAAGAAUGUGUGUGGAAUAGUCAAGGACAGGCAAGGAGGCCAGUGGCCAGAGUGAGAGGAAGCAUAAGGAGAUGGGGAUGAGCAGGGGCCAAGGGUCAGGCCGUACAUAGGCCACUGUGAGGUUGAGAGCAUUUCCCUAUAGCUGGGAGGCCAGUGGGGAAUAGUGAGGCAGAGGUAGAGCAUGACCUGACCUCCAUCAGUAGGAGCCUCUGACCACUCAGCUGGAUGAGGUGUUCCAGGAAGUGCACUCACACACAGUCAGGAGAACUCAGAUGCCCCCCAGUGGUAAAAGAGGAACAGCAGAGGACUGAGCUGUAGCUGUCUGAGGAGGAAACCAGGAGUGAAGCUCUAAGGUCAGAUGAAGCAGGUGUUUCCUAGAGACCAGUGAUUCGCCCAUCAGUAGUAGCUCACAUGCUGGUAGCAGGACAAGUAAGAUGAAGGCCACAACACAGUCACUGAACGUACUAACGUGGAGGUCGCUGGGGAUGCCAAAACAGCUGUUUCAGUGAGAUGGAAGAGAUAAAAGCUUGGGGGAGAGGAUGUAAGCAUGAAAGAACACUCACCCGUGCUUGUAAAGAACUCUUCCAAUGAAAGUUGUUUUCUAGCUUAGUAAAAUCAUAUUUAAUAUCUAUUUUUAUGAGUUUACAGUUAUUGUUACUUAUUUCAGUUGUGCUCUAUGUGUACUAUUCUUUGAUAUAAAAUUGACUUCCUGGUUUUGUUUUGCUUUUUUUUUUUUUAAACUUAAAAAUGAAGCAGAUGUUCAGAAAAGCAGCCCAUUUGAAGGAGUCAGAGUUGGGAUAUGGAGUAUGUGACCAGAAAUAGACAUUUCAGUAGUUUUGUUUUUCCUUUUUAAGUGCUGAGGAAUAAAUCAGAACCAUUGAACUCUUAUUAGAAAUGUUUCUUUUUUUCUUUUCUUAUUUAUUGUUUUAUGGGCAUGGGUGUUUUGUCUGCAUAUAUAUGUGUGUAUCAUGUGUUUGACUGGUAUCCAAGAGGCCAGAAAAGGAUGUUGGAUUUCCUGGAACUGGAGUUACAGAUGACUGUAAACUCCCAUGGGACUGAUGGGAAUUGAACCUGGGUCCUCUGCAAGAACCAUGACUGCUUUUAACCACUGAGCCAGGUCUUCUGGAAGAGCAGCCAGUGCUCUUAACUGCUGAGCCAUCUCUCCAGGCCUUACUUAAUUUUAUACUGAUUUUCUUAUGUAUUUUCAGCAGUGCUGGAGAUUGUGCUUAGGAUCUCAGGAACACUGUGUAGGCACACACUUUUGAACUACACCUCAACCUUGAAUUUUUAUAUUAAAUAUUAAAAUAACAGGCAAUUUAUAAAACAAAAUAGGACAAAAGGGAGGAAAUAAUUAAGACCACCUACCUCAGUACUCAGAGAUAACCAAUGCAAAUUAUUUUUUAUUUUUAACUUUAGGAAUCUUUUUCCAAGAUUUAUUGUAGGAUAACUGAAAAAAGGCAUAUAUAUUUAAAGUACAUAGGUGUUUCUUAUAUGCAUUAUGUGUUGGGACAUGGUCCAAGAAUAGAGUCGUGUGAGGAGAAUUCUGAGUGCUUGUGAUUUCUUCAAAACACAGAAUUGUUCUUGGAAUGUGUCUUUGUGUUCCUCCUAGGUAUAGCAGAUAGGACUGAGUUUACUUCAGAUUACUCAUUAUUGCUUACUGUUGUUAUUCAAUUAAAUGCUUAAAUUAUCCUUUAUUUGCCUCUUUAGAGAGGUUCUCAGCCUUCCUAAUGUUUCAGUCCUUUAAUACAGCUCCUCAUGUUGUGACCCCCCAAUCAUAAAAUUGUUUUUGUUGCUACUUCAUAACUGUAGUUUUGCUACUGUUAUGAAUCGUAAUGUAAAUAUCUGUGUUUUCCGAUGGUCCCAGGUGACCGCUGUGAAGGGGUCAUUUGACCCCCAAAUGGUCUUGACCAACAAAUUGAGAACUGCUCUUCUGUAGAAAAACAUGUUUUUUUUUGCCACACGCAGCUUGUUUUUGUGAUUGUCUACGGCUUGAACACAAGAGAACUUUACUUAGGUGACCUCCCUUAACCCCCAGAGUAUAAAUUAUCUGAUGCUCUGAAUAAAGCUGGCUAUUGCAUGA